GUCACUAGAGACUAAGCAAAGGGCACCAAUCACUUAAUCCACUGGUAUGUUAAAGAUAAAAUAUGGAAGAAGUAUUAUAUAGUAGUACAUAGAAACUGAGAAUAGUCAAAUCUCUUGAUAAGAAGACGAAAGUAGGUAUUAGUACAAUAACAGAACAUAACAUUACAUUACAUUGAUAGGGUUUUUCGGGCGAUAACAUUACAAUGGCAAC
rnacentral:lncRNA from 1 species